rnacentral:lncRNA from 1 species
AAGAUAUAUUUUUGGGUUUUUAAUUAGUAAAGAUGAUAAAAUACAAAGUAUGAUACAAUCAAAUGGUGCUUGGUGAUCUCUCCCAAUGCAAACCCAAUGAAUGAGGGGUAAGGGGGAUGCCAAGUUGUGAUCCCAAUGCUAAUGCAUAUGAUGAGAUAGCACGAGGGAUCUUAGGGUCAAAAUUGGGGUCUUACAGCUGCCCCUAUUUAAGGACGUUCUAAUUGAGGAGAUGAAGGUUAAAAUCUUCG